UNGCCUGAUUAUCGUGGUUGAUCUCCAGA
rnacentral:piRNA from 1 species